rnacentral:rRNA from 1 species
AAUCAAUUAAGCAGGGAUGACAUGGGCAAGUAUCUUGGUGCAUCAGCAGUAAGACACACAGGUAUUAACGAUCCAGCUACACUCGAAGCCUUGGCGUGCAGAGAAGCUCUUUCCCUUGCCCUCGACCUCUCACUAUCUCAUGUGUUGGUAGCCUCAGAUUGCAAGGAGGUUGUCCCGGACAUACACAAGGGCACGGGCGGCCUUUACGCGAGCAUUGUUAAAGAGAUCAUCUCCCAAGGUUUGCAGUUUCCAGCAUGCUCCUUCAUCUUCGAAGGGCGCGAGACAAACUUUGAGGUGCACAGCCUCGCCAAACACACUUUGGGACUCUCUCCGGGACGCCAUCUCUGGCUACUUAAUACCCCGAAUUUAUCUUGUAUUCCUAUGUAUUUGGAUAUUGAUCAAUAA